GAAAUGUCCAUUUUAUUUUUUAACUUAGCUGCUCCUGCAACAAGUACUGUUCCUCCUACAACUUCUGUUACUACCACUGUGGCUGGUACUACCACCAUAACAACUGGAGAACCUGUCCCUGUUCGUGCUACCGUUCCUACAACGAGACCCACAACUACAACCACUACAUAUGUGGCCCCCACAACUACAGUGUCAAGGACAGCAUCACCACUGUCAACAACUACCAGCACAGCUCCAACUACCACAACAACCAAUGCACCAACCACUACAACAACACAUACUACUACUACUAGUACAGCAACAACAACAACUGCAACAACAACUACUACAACUGCACAUCUUCAACCUGCUCCAGUGGUGUCUUUCGUCGUACAACAAGUGUUUGUAGAAGCUUUAAAUGACCCUCAAAGUACACAAUUCCAAGAACUUGCAGUAACUAUUACUGCAGUGUUCGAUGUGAUCUACAAAGCAAAAUAUGGGAUCCUUUUCAUCCGGACGAUUGUUCUUGGAUUCACACCUAUUUUCCAUUCCCGUAUGGAUGCAGAAACACAGGCAGAGGUCCAACUGGUGUUCAAUGAGACCUCCACUCAAUCUGUCCCUGAGGUUACUGACAUUAGCAAUACACUGAAAGAAGCUGUGACCAAUCCAAACACUUUCUUUGGCAACCUCUCAGUGGAUGUCACCACCAUCAUUGUUAAAGGUGAGUAAAACCAUUAGGUGAA